UACGUAGGGGGCUAGCGUUGUCCGGAAUCAUUGGGCGUAAAGCGCGUGUAGGCGGCCCGGUAAGUCCGCUGUGAAAGUCGGGGGCUCAACCCUCGGAUGCCGGUGGAUACUGUCGGGCUCGAGUACGGAAGAGGCGAGUGGAAUUCCUGGUGUAGCGGUGAAAUGCGCAGAUAUCAGGAGGAACACCAGUGGCGAAGGCGGCUCACUGGCCCGGUACUGACGCUGAGGUGCGAAAGCGUGGGGAGCAAACAGG
rnacentral:rRNA from 1 species